rnacentral:rRNA from 1 species
UCAGCAGCCGCGGUAAUUCCAGCUCCAAUAGCGUAUAUUAAAGUUGUUGCAGUUAAAAGCUCGUAGUUGAACCUUGGGCCUGGCUGACCGGUCCGCCUCACCGCGUGCACUGGUUCGGCCGGGCCUUUCCUUCUGGGGAGCCGCAUGCCCUUCACUGGGUGUGUCGGGGAACCAGGACUUUUACUUUGAAAAAAUUAGAGUGUUCAAAGCAGGCCUAUGCUCGAAUACAUUAGCAUGGAAUAAUAGAAUAGGACGUGUGGUUCUAUUUUGUUGGUUUCUAGGACCGCCGUAAUGAUUAAUAGGGAUAGUCGGGGGCAUCAGUAUUCAAUUGUCAGAGGUGAAAUUCUUGGAUUUAUUGAAGACUAACUACUGCGAAAGCAUUUGCCAAGGAUGUUUUCAUUAAUCAGUGAACGAAAGUUAGGGGAUCGAAGACGAUCAGAUACCGUCGUAGUCUUAACCAUAAACUAUGCCGACUAGGGAUCGGGCGAUGUUAUCUUUUUGACUCGCUCGGCACCUCACGAGAAAUCAAAGUUUUUGGGUUCUGGGGGGAGUAUGGUCGCAAGGCUGAAACUU